UUGAACUCCCAGCACAGAUAGGACACAUGGACAUUAAUUUCAGUUGAAUGCUUUCUGUUUUAUAACUGACUAGGUUUCCCCCUUUCAGUUGGACAACUGACUAGGUAUCCCCCUUUCAGUUGGACAACUGACUAGGUAUCCCCCUUUCUGUUGGACAACUGACUAGGUAUCCCCCUUUCUGUUGGACAACUGACUAGGUAUCCCCCUUUCUGUUGGACAACUGACUAGGUAUCCCCCUUUCUGUUGGACAACUGACUAGGUAUCCCCCUUUCUGUUGGACAACUGACUAGGUAUCCCCCUUUCUGUUGGACAACUGACUAGGUAUCCCCCUUUCUGUUGGACAACUGACUAGGUAUCCCCC